AGCGAACGCUGGCGGCAGGCCUAACACAUGCAAGUCGAACGAACCUUUCGGGGUUAGUGGCGGACGGGUGAGUAACACGUGGGAACGUGCCUUUAGGUUCGGAAUAACUCAGGGAAACUUGUGCUAAUACCGAAUGUGCCCUUCGGGGGAAAGAUUUAUCGCCUUUAGAGCGGCCCGCGUCUGAUUAGCUAGUUGGUUGAGGUAAUGGCUCACCAAGGCGACGGUCAGUAGCUGGUCUGAGAGGAUGAUCAGCCACAUUGGAACUGAGACACGGCCCAAACUCCUACGGGAUGCAGGAGUGGGGAAUCUUGCGCAAUGGGCGAAAGCCUGACGCAGCCAUGCCGCGUGAAUGAUGAAGGUCUUGGGAUUGUAAAAUUCAUUCACCGGUGACGAUAAUGACGGUACCCGGAGAAGAAGCCCCGGCUAACUUCGUG
rnacentral:rRNA from 1 species